rnacentral:rRNA from 1 species
CCAGCAGCCGCGGUAAUACGUAGGGUGCAAGCGUUAAUCGGAAUUACUGGGCGUAAAGCGUGCGCAGGCGGUUAUAUAAGACAGAUGUGAAAUCCCCGGGCUCAACCUGGGAACUGCAUUUGUGACUGUAUAGCUAGAGUACGGCAGAGGGGGAUGGAAUUCCGCGUGUAGCAGUGAAAUGCGUAGAUAUGCGGAGGAACACCGAUGGCGAAGGCAAUCCCCUGGGCCUGUACUGACGCUCAUGCACGAAAGCGUGGGGAGCAAACAGGAUUAGAUACCCCCGUAGUCCCUGUCUCUUAUA